UACGUAGGGCGCAAGCGUUGUCCGGAAUUAUUGGGCGUAAAGAGCUCGUAGGUGGUUUGUCGCGUCUGCCGUGAAAGCCCCGGGGGCUUAACUCCGGGUCUGCGGUGGAUACGGGCAGACUAGAGGCAGGUAGGGGAGACUGGAAUUCCUGGUGUAGCGGUGAAAUGCGCAGAUAUCAGGAAGAACACCCGUGGCGAAGGCGGCUCUCUGGGACGGUACUGACGCUGAGACGCGAAAGCGUGGGGAGCGAACAGG
rnacentral:rRNA from 1 species